rnacentral:rRNA from 1 species
AUUGAACGCUGGCGGCAGGCUUAACACAUGCAAGUCGAGCGAGCGGCGGACGGGUGAGUAAUGUCUGGGAAACUGCCUGAUGGAGGGGGAAAACUACUGGAAACGGUAGCUAAUACCGCAUACCAUCAGAUGUGCCCAGAUGGGAUUAGCUAGUAGGGGGGGUAAUGGCUCACCUAGGCGACGCUCCAUAGCUGGUCUGAGAGGAUGACCAGCCACACUGGAACUGGGACACGGUACAGACUCCUACGGUAGGCAGCAGUGGGGAAUAUUGCACAAGGGGCGCAAGCCUGAUGCAGCCAUGCCGCGGGUGUGAAGAAGGCCUUCGGGUUGGAAAGCACUUUCAGCGAGGAGGCGUUACUCGCAGAAGAAGCACCGGCUAAGUCCGUGCCAGCAGCCGCGGUAAUAC